GAGCACAGCUGGGUAGCCAUGUACGGUUUAGAUAAACGCUGAAAGCAUCUAAGCGUGAAACUAGCCUCAAGAUUAGAUAUCCCACCGAAAGGGUAAGGUCACUUGUAGACUACGAGUUUGAUAGGUCGGAGGUGUAAGCACAGUAAUGUGUUCAGCUGACCGAUACUAAUAGACCGAGGGCUUGAACUUCUAA
rnacentral:rRNA from 1 species